rnacentral:rRNA from 1 species
UAAAAGUCGUAACAAGGUUUCCGUAGGUGAACNUGCGGAAGGAUCAUUACCGUUGUCUCAUGACAAAAAACCACUGUGAACUGUCUCGAGCUUGUGGGGUAACCCUUAGGCGGUUUUAAAUGAUCUGUAGUCUACUACUACACGUAGCAGUAGCUCUGAUUGGCCCCACUUGCGCAACAAACUCAAAUGUUUAACACACUUAUACUGUUUUCCAGUAUCACUGAUUUUCUCACUGCGCAAGCUAUGAGGAAUGAAAGUAAACACUUGACAACUUUUAACGGUGGAUCUCUUGGCUCGUGCAUCGAUGAAGAACGUAGCCAGUUGCGAUAAGUAGUGUGAAUUGCAGAAUUCAGUGAAUCAUCGAAUCUUUGAACGCAAAUUGCGCUCUCUGGCUAUCCAGGGAGCAUGCCUGUCUGAGCGUCGUGUAAAACCUACACACCCCGGUGUGGCUAGGGAGCUACAAGCGUCGUUGGCACGUUUGGCUCUCCAUGUGUCUGAACUCGAUUGCAAUCGUCAGGUUGUUAUCGGAAGGCUCAACUAGCUUCUGUCCUCUCCGGUAAUCAACUACCUGUGAUUCAAUUGCUGUUCUUAGCAGCACUUUAUAGUGCAGCAGUACUCGAGCUUUGACCUCAGAUCAGACAAGACUACCCGCUGAAUUUAAGCAUAUCAAUA